rnacentral:rRNA from 1 species
CCUACGGGAGGCAGCAGUGGGGAAUAUUGCACAAUGGGCGAAAGCCUGACGCAGCCAUACCGCGUGUAUGAUGAAGGUCUUCGGGUCGUAAACCACUGUCAGCGGGGAGGAACGGAGUCUGUGCUAUUCCGCAGUUCAUUGACGUUACCUGCAGAAGAAGCACCGGCUAACUCCGUGCCAGCAGCCGCGGUAAUACGGAGGGUGCGAGCGUUAAUCGGAAUUACUGGGCGUAAAGCGCACGUAGGCGGUAUGUCAAGUCAAGGGUGAAAUCCCCGCGCUCAACCUGGGAACUGCAUCUGAAACUGGCAAACUGGAGUGUGUGAGAGGAGAGUGGAAUUCCAGGUGUAGCAGUGAAAUGCGUAGAUAUCUGGAGGAACAGCAGUGGCGAAGGCGACCACCUGGAACAUAACUGACGCUGAGGUGCGAAAGCGUGGGUAGCAAACAGGAUUAGAUACCCCAGUAGUC